GAGGCAGCUUCCGGAGGCACCUCAGCCUGAGCCGGAGGGACCCCCAGGCAGGCUCCUCCCCACACCAUUGCCACUGCUGUUGCCAUCACUCAACUGGACCAUUGCAAGAGGCUUCCGAUUGACCACCUUCUCCAAGGGUCUCUCCCGGCUCCCACACACGGAGUCAGUCACUGUAAGUCACUAUUUGUUAACGGACCCAUCCCCCCGGAUUAGCUGUGAAACUGCCUUGUCUGUGGGGAAACAGCCCCUCGAGAGCCAGGACAGGAACUUCCCCUUUAUGGCGUCAGUACCUAGUGCUCAGGGAGUGCUUGUGGAAAACAGGCAUAAAGGCCCACAGAGAGAAAGGAGGGUCUUUACCGUCCAGGGGGCUGUCCUCUCCCCGCAGGGAUGUUCUCCACGAGCUGGAGAGGCAAGUGCCCCAGACACGGGGGUUUUUUCACAGGUGUAAGCUCUCCAGAAGCAGCCGCUCCUCUCCGGAAUGUGGAAACGUGCCAGGGGCCAGCUGCCUGAGGGCCAGAACCCAGAGGCGAUCUUUUGUUUUGCACGCCAUUUUCUUUGCAGCUCUUCCGGGGACCUUGCUGCCAGCCCUGCAUGCCCUGGGGCCCAGAUUCUCCGGACGCCCCCACAGUUCACAUGUGCUCUGGGCUGUGGCUUCUGCAGGGCACCCACCUCUGGGGCGGGCCACCACAGAGAAAUAAUAAACAGCAGCACUGCUUCCAGAGCCCUCUGCACCCGCAGGGCACGGUCUCACUUAACCCUCGAAACUACUGGUCCCACCAACAAGUAUUUAAUGAGAGCCGGUUUGCGCUGGGGGUCGAGAAGGACACGGUGAUGCAUUUUGUGCUUCAGGAGCUGACAAUUCAGCUGCAUGACUGUGAAAGUCAUUGAACUUCUCUGACCUUGUCUGACCGUGAGCAUCAGCCAUCCUCAGGGUGAGUUCCUAUAGGGCAGCUGCUCUGAGUCCCUGAGUUGGAGGCGUAUGAGGAGACCACACAGUAGAACUACCAGCUGCUAGUAGAAAAACCACGACGCACAUGAGAUCCCUUGAUGAGCUACACAAUGUCAAGAUCUGUCUUCUGCCCCAGGGAGCAAUGUAAUCCUGCUCCGCUCCAGCUGUGCAAGGAACACAGGCUUGGUUGAAGAUCCCAAUCUGAAUCUUGGCUGGUUACCACCUUCUCUCCGGGUGACGCUUACUCUGAGCCCAGGGUCCCUGAGAGCACACCAUCACCCCAAACAACCGUCACCCAUGCGCACACACACCCAGACCUGCUCUCUCCGGCCUGUCAGGGACCUGGUAAGGCAGGAAGAUGGCUGAGUCCGUUAAUGCCACCAAGCACAACACAUAUUUAUGGCCCCAAUUACAGGCUUCACCUUCCCCCGCCACCAAGGAGCAGAAAUAGCGACAGAACAGUUGUGUGCAGUGGGGUCUGAGGCCUCUGUAGCAAUAACUACAAGAUUACAGGGAUGUUAGCAAACCCGGGUGACGGCGGCUCUAUUAUAAUGAUAAAUCUACAGCUUUAUAUAGAAAUAAUGAGACUGGGGUAGAAGGUGGGGGAGGGAAGGGCAGAGGGAUUUCAGCCAAUCGAAGUUCUAGGCCGAGGGAAACCGGCAAGCCGCUGGGAACGCCCAGGAGACCACCAGGGGCUCUUAGUCAAGCCAGGCAGGAGUGGGGGGCAGCAAG